rnacentral:rRNA from 1 species
CUCAGUUCGGACUGUAGGCUGCAACUCGCCUACACGAAGCUGGAAUCGCUAGUAAUCGCGGAUCAGCACGCCGCGGUGAAUACGUUCCCGGGCCUUGUACACACCGCCCGUCACACCAUGAGAGUCUGUAACACCCAAAGCCGGUGGGAUAACCUUUAUAGGAGUCAGCCGUCUAAGGUAGGACAGAUGAUUAGGGUGAAGUCGUAACAAGGUAUC